AUUGAACGCUGGCGGCAGGCUUAACACAUGCAAGUCGAGCGAGCGGCGGACGGGUGAGUAAUGUCUGGGAAACUGCCUGAUGGAGGGGGAUAACUACUGGAAACGGUAGCUAAUACCGCAUACCAUCAGAUGUGCCCAGAUGGGAUUAGCUAGUAGGUGGGGUAAUGGCUCACCUAGGCGACGAUCCCUAGCUGGUCUGAGAGGAUGACCGGCUCCACUUGGACUGAGCCACGGUCCAUCUGCCUAGGGAAGGCAGCAGUGGGGAAUAUUGCCACAUGGGCGCAAGCCGGAUGCAGCCAUGCCGCGUGUGUGAAGAAGGCCUUCUGGUUGUAAAGCACUUUCAGCGAGGAGGCGUUACUCGCAGAAGAAGCACCGGCUAACUCCGUGCCAGCAGCCGCGGUAAUAC
rnacentral:rRNA from 1 species